rnacentral:rRNA from 1 species
UACGUAGGGGGCGAGCGUUGUCCGAAGUUACUGGGCGUAAAGCGCGCGUAGGCGGUCUAUUAAGUCUGAGGUGAAAGGUUCAACGCUCAACGUGAACAGUGCCUUGGAUACUGGUAGACUUGAGUGUGGCAGAGGAGUAUGGAAUUCCUGGUGUAGCGGUGAAAUGCGUAGAUAUCAGGAGGAAUACCGAUGGCGAAGGCAGUACUCUGGGCUAACACUGACGCUGAGGUGCGAAAGCGUGGGGAGCAAACAGG